rnacentral:rRNA from 1 species
UACGAAGGGGGCUAGCGUUGCUCGGAAUCACUGGGCGUAAAGCGCACGUAGGCGGCUUUCUAAGUCAGGGGUGAAAUCCUGGAGCUCAACUCCAGAACUGCCUUUGAUACUGGAGAGCUAGAGUCCGGAAGAGGUGAGUGGAACUGCGAGUGUAGAGGUGAAAUUCGUAGAUAUUCGCAAGAACACCGGUGGCGAAGGCGGCUCACUGGUCCGGUACUGACGCUGAGGUGCGAAAGCGUGGGGAGCAAACAGG